UACGAAGGGGGCUAGCGUUGCUCGGAAUCACUGGGCGUAAAGCGCACGUAGGCGGACUCUUAAGUCGGUGGUGAAAUCCUGGAGCUCAACUCCAGAACUGCCUUCGAUACUGAGAGUCUCGAGUCCGGGAGAGGUGAGUGGAAUUCCUAGUGUAGAGGUGAAAUUCGUAGAUAUUAGGAAGAACACCAGUGGCGAAGGCGGCUCACUGGCCCGGUACUGACGCUGAGGCGCGAAAGCGUGGGGAGCAAACAGG
rnacentral:rRNA from 1 species